GCAGAGAUUCCGCGAUUGAGUGUGUGGUAAAUUAACAAAAGCUUUAUCAAAAUAAACUAAAAGUGAAAAACAGCGGAAAAAAUUAUUCAGACAAAAAUGUAGCCAAAGUCUCCGCUUUUCUCCACACAAACACCACCACUGUCUGUCUGCGCUGCUCUCAGCAACCUCUCUUCCGCCAAACACAGCUCCCUCCCGGCCACGAACUGACAAUGGCAGAAGUUGCUAAGGGACAACCAAAGCUCUGACUUGAACCCCAACAAACAUUUCUGGAGAGACCCUGACGGUCUCCGACGGUCCCCAUCCAACCAACCUGAGAAGAUUCACAAAGAAGAAUGUCAGAAAAUUCUCCAAUCCAGGAAGUCAACGUAAAACUCAUAUUACUUUCAUGAGGUACCACAAUUUUAUUUUUGCUACAUUAACCAGCAUUAUAUUGCUGUGGUAACUAUUGGGAUGAUUUUUAAAAAGACUGCAGAAGUAAAAUAGC